rnacentral:rRNA from 1 species
UACGUAGGGUGCAAGCGUUGUCCGGAAUUAUUGGGCGUAAAGAGCGUGUAGGCGGCCCGAUUAGUCCGCUGUGAAAGUCCAGGGCUCAACCCUGGAAUGCCGGUGGAUACUGUCGGGCUAGAGUCCGGAAGGGGCGAGUGGAAUUCCUGGUGUAGCGGUGAAAUGCGUAGAUAUCAGGAGGAAUACCGGUGGCGAAAGCGACUCUCUGGACGGCAACUGACGCUGAGGCACGAAAGCGUGGGGAGCAAACAGG